AUUAUCAAAUUGAGUUUCAACAGCAAAAAAAUAAAACACUAAUCCUCUGAAAGGUUGGAUAAGACGUUUGCAGAUGACAGAUGUGCUUCAGUUGUGUGUGUUUUUGUGUGUGUGUGUGUGUGUGUGUGUGUGUGUGUGUGUGUGAGUGAGAGAGAGAGAGAGAGAGAGAGAGAGAGAGAGAGAGAGAGAGAGAGAGAGAGAGAGAGAGAGAGAGAGAGAGGUGAAUACUUAUAUCCAUCCUAUAAGUGUGUCAAUGUGAGCCUAAACGUGUGUGUCGCAAAUAUGGCUAAAGCUGCUGUUUUAUGAUUGGCUGCUGCCCACACAUACUCAAUAUGCACCCUGCUGGCACUGAGAUGUGUGCAUGAGAGAGAGAGCGAGGGAGGGAGAGAGUCUGGGAUAUAAAGGGGGUUGACAUAAGUAUAAAAGAGGAGAGAACCACAGUGGUAUAGGAACAGGAAGAGAACAAUCAUUCACUUUUCAUAGCAGUGCCAGCAGCUGACAUCACACCACUCUAACAGCUGCAUCAGCAGAGAGCCACAGCCGGGCUCAGGAGGGCAACACCUGAGCUAACGGACGGUAACCAGGACGACGGCAGCGCCAGCGACAAUAACCCUGUCAACAACUCUUUGACCCCAAUACAGCCAACAGAUCCAGUUACCAUGGCAAUUAGCUCAUCGCCGCCGCUAACAGAGCUUGAAAGAGAAAAUUUGAUUAGCUGGAACAACCGAGAAUUAGAGGAACCCAAUUACCCAGAGGUCCAUGGGAUGCAGCAGCCAAGCAGGAAGGAGCCGGAGGUAGAAGAGCCGACAGAGGGAGACAAUGGAAAAACAGAUGGAGACGAGUGUGACUAUCUUGUCUUUGAUAUUGGACAGCAGAAGGGAGGAGAAGAAAUGGGGGGGUGGGGUGGAGGAAAAGCAGAAACAAGGAGUGAAGAUUUAGGGGGAAGAGGAGUUGAGGGAGAAGAUGAAGGGAGAGUAAAAAUAGAAGGUGAGUAUGAAGCGAUUGGAGAAAGAGAGAGAGAAGACUCUAAAGAAGAGGACGGGUGGAUAGGAAAGACGGUGGGGGAGAUGAAAGAUGAUGCUCUGGCAGAGCUGCCCUUCAUCUCUGACAGUCCAGUCUGUCCUUCAUCAUCAGAGCCCCUGGGUGGCACAUCCCUUCCUGCAGAGCAGCCUGCAAUAGCGGCCACGUUGCAGAAGGCCUGGGGUCACGACCUUGGAAACAGAGAUGACUUAAGCGAUGGUCACCUUAGUGACUGCCUCCAAGCUGAGCUGGCUAUCGUGUACUCGGACAGUGACGCAGGGGAGGACCAAUGGGCAGCCUUCGCGCCCUGUGAUGUCACCAACCAGGAAGAAGCAGAUGGAAAGAAUCAUGAUAGCAUCUGUGAUAUAGAGAGCAAGGAAGAGAAGAGAGAGGAAGAGAGUAGGGAGAGAGCGGAGGAUGAAGAUGAGUCAGUAGAGACUGGAGCAGAGGACCAGAGAGAGGAGGAAGUCGAGAAGGAGCAGGAAGAGAGGAGGGGAGGCGGGGAUGAUGAUGAAGAGCAGAUGAAGAUGAGGAGAGAUGUUUUUUUGCGCUCUCCCUCUGUCUGCUCUACAGCCAGCCCCACAGACCCUGACAGGAAGGUUCCUGUAGAUUUCUGUGUCCACCAAGACACCCUCAGUGAAAAUGUCUCCACUGAGCAUGUAGACUUUCUGUUGGCCUGCAAGCAGUGGAAGAAGAUGGAGGAGGAGGUCAAAGGUCAACCAUUCCCCAAACCGGGGCUGAGAGCUCAGGGGAGCUUCCAGGGCACCCAUACUUCACUAUACCCUCCCACUCGCAGCCCUCGCCUCAAACACAGUAUCAGUAAAUCUCUCUCUUGGUCUUGGGGUCUCGGUCUGGUCAGAUUCAGGCAGCUCGCCUCUCAACCCGCCCCCCACACCAAGUGGAUGACAGCGCCCCUAGCAUUUGCCUAUACUGCCUAUGCCCAGGGCCGGCUCAGAGUCCCAGAAACAAUGGGAGAUCCAUCCACCAGUGCCAAGGGAGUCGCCCCUCUCCUCCACACUGUCCCCCAGUUCAGAGGACUCAGGCCUGGAUGA
ensembl:lncRNA